GUUUAACUAUAUUAUAUUAAAAACACGCAGAUCCUUAGAAAUGUUGAUUGAAUAUUUUACCAUUCAUUAAAAGACUCCAUAAUAGACUCAACAGAGAAAGACUCGACAUCGAGCCACCUAGUGGUGUGGUACGUAGUGGGUUUAGUACGCCCCGCCCAAACAAACGGCUCCGAAACAAAUAAAAAGGUGUGUGCCGCACUCACGAAAGACUGCAAGUGAUAUACUGGAGGAAGGUGGGGGUGACGUCAAGUCCGCAUGGCCCUUAUGGGCUGGGCCACAAACGUGCUACAAUAGCAAUUACAAUGGGAAGCAAGGCCGUAAGGCGGAGCGAAUCAGGAAAGAUUGCCUCAGUUCGGACUGCAACUCGGGAACCUGAAGCUGGAAUC
rnacentral:ncRNA from 1 species